AACACAGUUAUAAAAAGACCAUUUGUAAUGUAGAUUUUUAAAUGGUUUUAGACAUGAAUGUUUUUAACUAGGGCUGUCCCUAACGAUUAUUUUUUAAACGAUUAUUCUAACGAUUAUUUUUUUCGAUUAGUCGACUAAUCUAUUUAUUGAGAAACAUAUUUAAAUAAUUAUUAUUUUACGUUUUAAAGCAAACGAUAAAUUACUAUAUUUAUAUAUAAUAACAACAACAACAACAACACAAGCCUACUAAACCAAACCCCACACUUAUAAUCACUUACAUGUACAACACGUUUAGAUCUAUAACGCUAAAAAUGGAUAAGCUCCCAUACACCACAACCGUGUGUUGCACUGUUUUCUGUGACCGCUAGAUUUUGUGACCACGGGCAAGUAGUUCUCAGCAGACCGGUGCACUGGCCGAUUCGAAACGUGUUCGUUUCUAAUGUUUACCCCGACUGGCCAAAACGGUUAAGUUUAGGGCUGAGGGUAAGGUGUAGGUAUAGAAAGCUUCCGUUUUGCCAAUGAACGCUCAUAACCGUGAGCACUGGUCACAAAAUUCCGACGGUGACAGAAAACGGUGUAACACCGCAGCGCCGAUGGUGCUAGCUAAAAUAACUUAAGGCAGCUAGCUUAGCUAAACACCUGAACUUAUGAAUUAUGCUACUGUUUCUGGAAACUGCGAAAUGCCAUGCACAAAUAUAAACCAAAAAUGUAUAAUUUCUGCCUGUGGCAGGUUUAAAACCUUUGGUAGACAGCCUUAAGUCUUUUUAAGCACACCCGCGGAGACCCUGAUGUAAACGGUAACUUACUGUGUGACCCUGUUGACAUAGUGCUCCUGGAUGUUUGCGCUUCAAGUGUUCCAUUUUGCACAUAAGGCAGAGGACCACAUUGUUGCCCUUUUGCGUGAAAUGCUCCCAAACUUUAGAUGCCCGCUGGCGUUUUUUUGUAGCUGUUUUCAGUACCGCAGUUCUACAGCGGGGGUGUUGUGCCGAUUCUGUCCGCGAAGCGGGAGUCAGAUUCAGCAGAGAGUCGGAUUCGGCACAAGCGCGGCGGCACCUCGCGGUCCGCGGUGUCAGUUGUAAGCGCUCGCGCUAGCCACAAAAUACGGCAGAAAACACUGAGGGAGCUGCAGAAUUAUGUAUGGGACUACAAUAUGAACACAAGGAGAUAAAAGAGAACCUUCACCUGUGAGUAGCUCUCACCAGAACAAGCAAAUCUCUCUGUCUCUCUCUCUCUCUCUCUCUCUCGCACGUGAACUCCUCCGCGUUUGACUUGCAGAACUGUGUUUAGCUGUUCUUAAAAAUCAUUUUAAUUAAAUAAUAGUUCUAUGCUUCUAUGUUACCGUGUUAAUUAACAUAAUUCUGAUCAUAUUUCGCUCAUUCAAACAGCCCGAAAACAGCCAGUUUAUGGGGCGGGUCAGGUCGGGCUCGGGUCUUAUGAUGACCGUUUAUGGUUCAGGUCGGGUCGGGCUAGGGCAGAACGUGCACGGGCUCGGGCUGGGUCGGUUCGGAAUUUUUGGGCCCGAUCUAACCUCUAAUGCUCUCCACAGGCGCCGCCGUGUUUACGACGCGCCGACGCACGUUAUGCAAAUCGAUGUAUUUUCGUAAUCGAUGACGUCGAUUAUGUCGACGCGUCGCCCCAGCCCUAUUUUUAACCUUAAAAAAAACACUGACAUCAAGCUGUAAGCUUGUGCAUAGAGUGCUGGUGAA
ensembl:lncRNA